GGUUGCGAUCAUACCAGCACUAAUGCACUGGAUCCCAUCAGAACUCCGCAGUUAAGCGUGCUUGGGCGAGAGUAGUACUAGGAUGGGUGACCCCCUGGGAAGUCCCCGUGUUGCAACCC
rnacentral:rRNA from 1 species